rnacentral:rRNA from 1 species
UACGUAGGGUGCAAGCGUUGUCCGGAAUUAUUGGGCGUAAAGAGCUCGUAGGCGGUUUGUCGCGUCUGCUGUGAAAACCCGAGGCUCAACCUCGGGCCUGCAGUGGGUACGGGCAGACUAGAGUGCGGUAGGGGAGAUUGGAAUUCCUGGUGUAGCGGUGGAAUGCGUAGAUAUCGGGAGGAAUACCUAUGGCGAAAGCAGGCUACUGGACCAUCACUAACGCUGAUCUGCGAAAGCUAGGGGAGCAAACAGG